AUUGAACGCUGGCGGAAUGCUUUACACAUGCAAGUCGAACGGUAGAGGGGGCAACCCCUCGAGAGUGGCGAACGGGUGAGUAAUAUAUCGGAACGUGCCCAGUCGUGGGGGAUAACGUAGCGAAAGUUACGCUAAUACCGCAUACGAUCUACGGAUGAAAGCGGGGGAUCGCAAGACCUCGCGCGAUUGGAGCGGCCGAUAUCAGAUUAGGUAGUUGGUGGGGUAAAGGCUCACCAAGCCAACGAUCUGUAGCUGGUCUGAGAGGACGACCAGCCACACUGGGACUGAGACACGGCCCAGACUCCUACGGGAGGCAGCAGUGGGGAAUUUUGGACAAUGGGCGCAAGCCUGAUCCAGCCAUUCCGCGUGCAGGACGAAGGCCUUCGGGUUGUAAACUGCUUUUGUACGGAACGAAAAAGCCUUGGCUAAUACCCAGGGUCCAUGACGGUACCGUAAGAAUAAGCACCGGCUAACUACGUG
rnacentral:rRNA from 1 species